rnacentral:lncRNA from 10 species
UAAUAAAAACAUUCAAUUUCCAAAGCUCCUAGAAGAGCAGCUUUUAGACUUUGAGAUCAAGCUGAAGGUCUUUAAGGUAAAACAAAAAAUUUGGCUGUUGCGCUUACUUUUAUAUAGAGGACUUUGAUCAGAUCUCAUAAUAAAGAGGCUGUAUAGAGUCCAAGACUGCUUUGUCAACGUCAGCAGACAGGAUUUCUUCUUGUCACCAAGUGAAAGCUUAUGAUCAAGAAAGGGGGUCUUUUUUUUUUUUUCCCCGUAGGUGUCUUUGUGAAGCUUCCUAUCUUUGCUUUUCAACUAAGAUGAAACAGCAUUUAAAAGAAAAUGCCAUGUGAGAUGAGAUCAGGAGAAUGGAUUCUUUCUUUCAUCUGAAUAGAGAGCUGCUGUUCGAGAUUCUAACUCAAAUAGCUCAAAGGACACCUUCUCCGGGAAACCUUCCCUGACUUCCGACGCUGUUUCCUGUUGGGCAUCUAUGUAAAUCAUUUGGAGUUUUUGCCUUUCCUCUUAGAAGAAAAAUAUGAAUGAUUUGACUGAACAGGCCUAUAGCCAAACCCAAGAUGAUCUUUCCAAGCGUGAACUCCAUCUUCAAACUUCUAAUCUUAAACCUUAAAGAAGAAACUAUGGCAAUGUCUCUUCCACCACUCUUGACUAGCAUGAUGUGUUGCCAAAAGACUUCAGAUCAUAAGUGCGAAAUAAAAAAUCAAAAAUUGACUGCAUCUUUUCUCAUUGCUCAACAACUGUCAAACAACUGAGAAAUUUGUUUUGGAUGAAGCAGUAACAUUCCUUCUUCCACUCCCAGCCCCAUUCCACGUAGUCUGCAGUUCCUCACUGACCACUGAUUGAUGUCAACGUGCAAACUCUCAGACAGAAGACAAGAAAUAUGUCCUGGGUUUUCUGGUUCCUCAAGCUUCUGACUAGGACCAGAGCCAGCAAUUACACACACUUAUCCCUAUUCUUUCCAUGAAUGCAGAGAAAGAAAGACCUUCUUGGGCUGUAAGAAAUACUCUAUUCCUCACACAUAAUAACUAAGGCUCAGCAGCUUGUAAAAAGGCAUGGUCCAGGGCAUGUCAGGACAAGGAAGAGCGGUAAGUUGUUUCUCUGUCUUUCCUCUGUAUUCUUUCAUAAUUGGGACAAGGCCUCAGCUGACAAGGAGCUGGCAGAACACUGGGGACAGCUGGUAUGUAAGAACCAACACCGUCCCAUCAGUCAUUUAUUCAACACAUGUUUAUUGAGUAUCUGCAACGUGACUGCACCGUUAUAGAGUCUGCAUUGUUGUAGGUCCUGAGAAAAAAACUGCAAAGCAAAAGUACACACAGGCUUGCCCUCCUGAAAUGUACAGUCAGGUGGAGAUGGCAGAUAUUAAGAAACUAACUUGUGCUAUUGAAGUUUAAAAGAAAGGGAUCUUACUGAGUCUGAGGAGAGGGAUGAAUCAAUGCAGACUUCCUAGAAGAACUGGCAUAUAAACCAAGAACUGAAAGAGGAAUAGACAUUAAACCAGAAAACAGAAUGGAAGAAAAAUAGAUUUACGAUGCAAAAACCGUAAAGGAAAGAGUUCAGUAUGACUGGAAUAUAUAGACAGAAGAUAAUGGUUUAUGAUAAGACUGAAAAGGAAUGCAGGGUCUAGAUAAAGAGACUCUUCAAAUUAGUAAGAAUUUUUUUGAGACAAUAAAAGACCAUUUUGCUUUGGCAAAAUAAUAAUAAUAAUAACACUCAGUGUAGUGUGAACUAUAAAUUUAGGAGAGCAAGAGUAAUUGUGGGGAAAUCAGUUAAGAGACUUGCUUUAGCCAAGAAAACAGUUGAUGUUGGAUUAAACCAUGGAGAAGAUAAUGGAGAUAAUGACAAGUGGACAGAUUUUGGAAAUCAAUAUCUUUUGGUAAUUAAUUGAACAUAGGAGAAAGAAGAAAAGAUGGGGUUACAUAGGACUCUGAAAUUUCUGAACAAUCAGCUGGGAAGAUGAUAGCAUUAUUUGUUGUGUAAAGAACAUGAGAAGAGGCUCGGGAUUGGAAGGACACAUGAGGAGCUCUGGUUUUGACACAGUGAGUGUGGUAUAUGGGCUCUCACUUACGUGGGUCUAGAGCUAAGAAGAGAAGUCAUGGGUUGGACGCAAAAGUGUGGGUUUUGGCAGCAUUUAGGUAGUAAAAAUUUGGCAAAUGGUUAAGAGUAUAUUACAGGAAAAGAAAAUAAUUUAGGUCAGAGUCCAGAGGAAAGCAUACAUUUAACACAGAAGAAUAAAACCUGAGAAAUAACUGGUAAACGAGAUUAGGAAGCAGUCAGAGAGGAAGAAAGCCAGGAGGAUACGGUGUGGCAUGGAAGCCAAUGGAGAGAUUGUUUCAAGAAGAAGAAGAUAGUUAACAGUAGGGAAUUAUCAACAUAGAGAUUAAGAAAUGUGGAUUUACCAAUAAGGAGGACAUUCGUGUUCUUCAAAAUGAAAACCAGAGAAGAGGUAAAAGCAAAAAAAAAAAAAAAAAAUUGUCAAGAGGCAAGAACAGAACUUGAAAGAGAAUACCAGGAAACCAUGGAAAGUGAAGAUAGACUUAGAGAGUAUGGUCAAAAGUUAGGACAGAGAAAUCAGAUGAGCUGAUCUGAAAUCCAGAAACUAUUCAUGGAGAACACACCCCAGGCGAGUGACUUUUGAAAGUCCUUUCCUUUAUACUUACCUAUAUUAAUUGCUGAAUGUAAAAAUAUCAUAUUUUAAUUAUUUAUUACCAAAAUAAUGUAUUUCCUUGUGGAAUAACUUAAAAAAUGUAGAAGAGUAAAGAAAUGAUCCAUAUUCUUCGCAUAAAAAGAAAAACAAUAUUGAUGUUUGCUCUUUCCAUCAGAAUUGUCCAAAUAAAUAAUCAUUCUAUACACAUUACUUUGAAAUAUGUUUUCUUUGCAUAAUAUUUUAGCAUAACCAAUUAUAUUUUAUUAUAAGUUGGGUUGAGUUGGAUCAUUACAUUUGAAGUAAAAUUUAAGAAAUAGUAAUUAAACUUUUUAAAG